rnacentral:piRNA from 2 species
UAGUUCCAGGACAGCCAGGGCUA